rnacentral:lncRNA from 1 species
UGCAGCCCCAAAGGCCAACUGUGUUCUGGGCUGCGUUAAAAGAGGAAUGGCCAGCAGGGAGAGGGAGGUGAUUGUCCCCCUCUACUCAGCUCUUGUGAGGCCCCAUCUGGAGAACUGCUUCCAGGCCUGGGGCCCCCAGUACAGGCAGGACGUGGAGCUCUUAGAGCGGGUCCAGAGGAGGGCCACUAAGAUGAUCAGAGGGCUGGAGCACCUCUCCUAUGAGGAAAGGUUGACGGAACUGGGCUUGUUUAGCUUGGAGAAGAGAAGGCUCCAGGAAGACCUCAUUGUGGCCUUCCAGUACUUGAAGGGAGCAUAUAAACAGGAGGGGGUAUGUCUGUUUAUGAGGGUGGAUAGUGAUAGGACAAGGGGGAAUGGUCUUAAACUGAGACAAGGGAGGUUUAGGCUAGAUAUUAGGAGGAAGUUUUUCACCCAGAGGGUGGUGAUGCACUGGAACAGGUUGCCCAAGGAGGCUGUGGAUGCCCCAUCCCUGGAGGCAUUCAAGGCCAGGCUGGAUGUGUCUCUGGGCAGCCUGGUCUGGUGGUUGGCGACCCUGCACAUAGCAGGGGGGUUGAAACUCGAUGAUCAUUGUGGUCCUUUUCAACCCAGGCCAUUCUAUGAUUCUAUGAUUACACUGAGGCCAUGUCUA